rnacentral:rRNA from 1 species
GAUGAACGCUAGCGGCAGGCCUAAUACAUGCAAGUCGGACGGGAUUUGGGAGCUUGCUCCCGAUGAGAGUGGCGCACGGGUGCGUAACACGUAUGUAACCUACCUUUGUCAGGGGGAUAGCCUCUCGAAAGAGAGAUUAAGACCGCAUAACAUUACAAUGUGGCAUCACAAAGUAAUCAAAUAUUUAUAGGACAAAGAUGGGCAUGCGGAACAUUAGCUAGUUGGUACGGUAACGGCGUACCAAGGCUACGAUGUUUAGGGGAUCUGAGAGGAUGGCCCCCCACACUGGUACUGAGACACGGACCAGACUCCUACGGGAGGCAGCAGUAAGGAAUAUUGGUCAAUGGACGGAAGUCUGAACCAGCCAUGCCGCGUGCAGGAAGACGGCCCUACGGGUUGUAAACUGCUUUUGCAGGGGAAUAAACCCCGAUAUGUAUAUCGGGCUGAAUGUACUCUGAGAAUAAGGAUCGGCUAACUCCGUGCCAGCCGCCGCGGUAA